AUGACCCUCCUUUGUUGGAUAUUAUGUACUGUUGUUAGUUUGAAGCACUCCUCUGGUUUGAAGGAUAGAUACCUUCCUGGGAUCAAGUGCAUCCUAACUCAAAAUUACCGAUGCAAGUCGAAGAAGGAUUGGCCGGUGCUGCCGGCUGGCGUCAAGUUCGAUCCCACGGAUCAGGAGCUGAUCGAGCACCUUGAGGCCAAAGUGAGUGCUGACAGCGCGAGAUCUCACCCUCUCAUCGAUUUAUUCAUACAAACCAUCGACAGUGAGCACGGCAUAUGCUACACCCAACCUGAGAAACUUCCAGAUGUUAUGAAAAUGCCAACUACGUACACUAAAACCUGUAUUCGACAAUACUGCAGGUAUCACACUGAGUGGCCUAAGGAAGCAUUUCUUCCAGCACAAUUCCAAGGCAUUCAAAAGGGGCACUUGGACGCGUCGCAAGAUACAGUCGGAGUGCAGCAUGCACGCGAUGUGGCACAAGACCGGCAAUACCUUGCCGGUGAUGGUCAACGGCCGGUAGACGGGAGCAAAAAGGUUCUGGUGCUGCACACCAACAAGAACUUCGACCAGCAGAGGACCAACUGGGUGAUGCACCAGUACCACCUCGGGGACCUAGAGCAAGAGAAGGAGCGGGAGCUGGUCCUCUGCAAGAUUUUGUACCAGGCGAACACUAGGGCCAGGAGUAAAAAGAUUAUAAGUUAG
rnacentral:rRNA from 1 species